GGGCGUUUAGCUCAGCUGGUUUAGAGCAUCUGCCUUACAAGCAGAGGGUCGGCGGUUCGAAUCCGUCAACGCCC
rnacentral:tRNA from 2 species